UACCACAUCCAAGGAAGGCAGCAGGCGCGCAAAUUACCCACUCCCGGCACGGGGAGGUAGUGACGAAAAAUAACGAUACGGGACUCAUCCGAGGCCCCGUAAUCGGAAUGAGUACACUCUAAACCCUUUAACGAGGAUCAAUUGGAGGGCAAGUCUGGUGCCAGCAGCCGCGGUAAUUCCAGCUCCAAUAGCGUAUAUUAAAGUUGUUGCGGUUAAAAAGCUCGUAGUCGAAUUUGUGUUUCGCGCCGCCGGUUCAUCGCUCGCGGUGUUCAACUGGCGUGUCGCGGAACGUCCUGCCGGUGGGACCGGGCGUUCGCGUCCGGCCCCAACUUUAAAUCCUGCCGCGGUGCUCUUCAUUGAGUGUCGAGGUAGGCCGGCACGUUUACUUUGAACAAAUUAGAGUGCUCAAAGCAGGCUAAAAUUUCGCCUGAAUAUUCUGUGCAUGGAAUAAUGGAAUAGGACCUCGGUUCUAUUUUGUUGGUUUUCGGAACCCCGAGGUAAUGAUUAAUAGGAACGGAUGGGGGCAUUCGUAUUGCGACGUUAGAGGUGAAAUUCUUGGAUCGUCGCAAGACGGACAGAAGCGAAAGCAUUUGCCAAAAACGUUUUCAUUGAUCAAGAACGAAAGUUAGAGGUUCGAAGGCGAUCAGAUACCGCCCUAGUUCUAACCAUAAACGAUGCCAGCUAGCGAUCCGCCGACGUUCCUCCGAUGACUCGGCGGGCAGCUUCCGGGAAACCAAAGCUUUGGGUUCCGGGGGAAGUAUGGUUGCAAA
rnacentral:rRNA from 1 species